GACGAACGCUGGCGGCGUGCUUAACACAUGCAAGUCGAACGGAAAGGCCCUGCUUUUGUGGGGUGCUCGAGUGGCGAACGGGUGAGUAACACGUGAGUAACCUGCCCUUUACUUUGGGAUAACUUCAGGAAACUGGGGCUAAUACCGGAUAGGUGCUCCUUCUGCAUGGUGGGGGUUGGAAAGUUUCGGCGGUUGGGGAUGGACUCGCGGCUUAUCAGCUUGUUGGUGGGGUAGUGGCUUACCAAGGCUUUGACGGGUAGCCGGCCUGAGAGGGUGACCGGCCACAUUGGGACUGAGAUACGGCCCAGACUCCUACGGGAGGCAGCAGUGGGGAAUAUUGCACAAUGGGCGGAAGCCUGAUGCAGCAACGCCGCGUGCGGGAUGACGGCCUUCGGGUUGUAAACCGCUUUCGCCUGUGACGAAGCGUGAGUGACGGUAAUGGGUAAAGAAGCACCGGCUAACUACGUG
rnacentral:rRNA from 1 species